rnacentral:rRNA from 1 species
GACACGGCCCAGACUCCUACGGGAGGCAGCAGUGGGGAAUAUUGCGCAAUGGGCGGAAGCCUGACGCAGCGACGCCGCGUGAGGGAUGACGGCCUUCGGGUUGUAAACCUCUUUCAGCAGGGACGAAUGUAGACGGUACCUGUAGAAGAAGCACCGGCCAACUACGUGCCAGCAGCCGCGGUAAUACGUAGGGUGCGAGCGUUGUCCGGAAUUAUUGGGCGUAAAAAGCUCGUAGGCGGUCUGUCGCGUCGAAUGUGAAAACCCGGGGCUCAACUCCGGGCUUGCAUUCGAUACGGGCAGGCUAGAGUUCGGUAGGGGAGUCUGGAAUUCCUGGUGUAGCGGUGAAAUGCGCAGAUAUCAGGAGGAACACCGGUGGCGAAGGCGGGACUCUGGGCCGAUACUGACGCUGAGGAGCGAAAGCGUGGGGAGCAAACAGGAUUAGAUACCCUGGUAGUCCACGCCGUAAACGAUGGAUGCUAGCCGUUGGUGGGUUUACCCUUCAGUGGCGCAGCUAACGCAUUAAGCAUCCCGCCUGGGGAGUACGGUCGCAAGAUUAAACUCAAAGGA